GACGAACGCUGGCGGCGUGCCUAAUACAUGCAAGUCGAACGCAGUGGGGACGGGUGAGUAACACGUGGGUAACCUCCCAUCAGAGGGGAUAACACUUGGAAACAGGUGCUAAACCGAUACUGAUGGAUGGACCCGCGGUGCAUUAGCUAGUUGGUGAGGUAACGGCUCACCAAGGCCACGAUGCAUAGCCGACCUGAGAGGGUGAUCGGCCACACUGGGACUGACGCGCGGCCCAGACUCCUACGGGAGGCAGCAGUAGGGAAUCUUCGGCAAUGGACGAAAGUCUGACCGAGCAACGCCGCGUGAGUGAAGAAGGUUUUCGGAUCGUAAAACUCUGUUAUUAGGGAAGCGGUACCUAAUCAGAAAGCCACGGCUAACUACGUGCCAGCAGCCGCGGUAAUAC
rnacentral:rRNA from 1 species